UGGGGGAUAUUGCACAAUGGGCGAAAGCCUGAUGCAGCGACGCCGCGUGGGGGAUGAAGGCCUUCGGGUUGUAAACUUCUUUUGCUCUGAACAAGGCAUGCCUUUGGGGUGUGUUGAGUGUAGGGGUUGAUUAGCGCCGGCUAACUACGUGCCAGCAGCCGCGGUAAUACGUAGGGCGCGAGCGUUGUCCGGAAUUAUUGGGCGUAAAGGGCUUGUAGGUGGCUGGUUGCGUCUGUCGUGAAAGCUCAUGGCUUAACUGUGGGUGUGCGGUGGGUACGGGCUGGCUUGAGUGCAGUAGGGGAGGCUGGAAUUCCUGGUGUAGCGGUGGAAUGCGCAGAUAUCAGGAGGAAUACCGGUGGCGAAGGCGGGUCUCUGGGCUGUUACUGACGCUGAGGAGCGAAAGCGUGGGGAGCGAACAGG
rnacentral:rRNA from 1 species